UCGGACCAGGCUUCAUUCCCC
rnacentral:ncRNA from 53 species